rnacentral:rRNA from 1 species
UGGGUACGGUCCGGCCGUUGCCUAUUACAUGCAAGUCGAGCGAACAGAUAAGGAGCUUGCUCCUUUGACGUUAGCGGCGGACGGGUGAGUAACACGUGGGUAACCUACCUAUAAGACUGGAAUAACUCCGGGAAACCGGGGCUAAUGCCGGAUAACAUAUAGAACCGCAUGGUUCUAUAGUGAAAGAUGGUUUUGCUAUCACUUAUAGAUGGACCCGCGCCGUAUUAGCUAGUUGGUAAGGUAACGGCUUACCAAGGCGACGAUACGUAGCCGACCUGAGAGGGUGAUCGGCCACACUGGAACUGAGACACGGUCCAGACUCCUACGGGAGGCAGCAGUAGGGAAUCUUCCGCAAUGGGCGAAAGCCUGACGGAGCAACGCCGCGUGAGUGAUGAAGGGUUUCGGCUCGUAAAACUCUGUUAUUAGGGAAGAACAUAUGUGUAAGUAACUGUGCACAUCUUGACGGUACCUAAUCAGAAAGCCACGGCUAACUACGUGCCAGCAGCCGCGGUAAUACGUAGGUGGCAAGCGUUAUCCGGAAUUAUUGGGCGUAAAGCGCGCGUAGGCGGUUUCUUAAGUCUGAUGUGAAAGCCCACGGCUCAACCGUGGAGGGUCAUUGGAAACUGGGAAACUUGAGUGCAGAAGAGGAAAGUGGAAUUCCAUGUGUAGCGGUGAAAUGCGCAGAGAUAUGGAGGAACACCAGUGGCGAAAGCGACUUUCUGGUCUGUAACUGACGCUCAUGUGCGAAAGCGUGGGGGGAUCAAACAGGAUUAGAUACCCUGGUAGUCCACGGCCGUGACGAUGAGUGCUAAGUGUUAGGGGGUUUUCCGCCCCUUAGUGCUGCAGCUAACGCAUUAAGCACUCCCGCCUGGGGAGUACGACCCGCAGGGUUGGAAACUCAUAGGAAUUUGACGGGGGACCCGCAUAGCCGGUUGAGCAUGUGGUUUAAUUUCGCAAGCAACGCGGAGGACCUUUACCUAUACCUUGACACCCUUGGACC